AUUGAACGCUGGCGGCAGGCCUAACACAUGCAAGUCGAACGGUAACAGGAAUCAGCUUGCUGAUUCGCUGACGAGUGGCGGACGGGUGAGUAAUGUCUGGGAAACUGCCUGAUGGAGGGGGAUAACUACUGGAAACGGUAGCUAAUACCGCAUAACGUCGCAAGACCAAAGAGGGGGACCUUCGGGCCUCUUGCCAUCGGAUGUGCCCAGAUGGGAUUAGCUAGUAGGUGGGGUAAAGGCUCACCUAGGCGACGAUCCCUAGCUGGUCUGAGAGGAUGACAAGCCACACUGGAACUGAGACACGGUCCAGACUCCUACGGGAGGCAGCAGUGGGGAAUAUUGCACAAUGGGCGCAAGCCUGAUGCAGCCAUGCCGCGUGUAUGAAGAAGGCCUUCGGGCUGUAAAGUACUUUCAGCGGGAAGGAAGGGAGUAAAGUUAAUACCUUUGCUCAUUGACGUUACCCGCAGAAGAAGCACCGGCUAACUCCGUG
rnacentral:rRNA from 1 species